rnacentral:rRNA from 1 species
UACGAGGGGUGCAAACGUUAUUCGGAAUCACUGGGCGUAAAGGGUGUGCAGACGGCGAAACAAGUCAGUUAUAAAAUCUCUUGGCUUAACCAAGAGCCUGUAACCGAAACUGUUUUGCUUGAGGAUGGAAGAGAGAAGCGGAAUUCUCGGAGUAGCGGUAAAAUGCGUAGAUCUCGAGAGGAACACCGAUGGCGAAGGCAGCUUCUUGGUCCAUUUCUGACGUUGAGACACGAAAGCGUGGGGAGCAAACAGG